rnacentral:lncRNA from 1 species
GUUGCGUCAGUAGGACUGGAUCAUCAGAACCCAAUGAAGCCUUCCACUGUCUACCUCAGUCUAUUCCCAACUGCAUCAUCACCACAUCAGAAGAAGAUGACGGCAUUCCAUAAAUCCAUGGAACAAAAGGAGUCUAUGGAUGAAGCAGCAUUUCUCUUAAGGGAUGGAGGAUGAAGAGGAGAGAGUUUAUUAAAGAUGAGACACACACACAUAAACAGAGGAUGAUGGCAAGAAUUUGGCAGAGAAUGUCAAGUAUAAGGAAAGAAAUGUAAUCUCCAAAAGUACAAUGGAAGAGCUUCUUCCAACACAGCAAG